rnacentral:rRNA from 1 species
UACGUAGGGGGCAAGCGUUGUCCGGAUUUAUUGGGCGUAAAGAGCGUGUAGGCGGUUAGGUAGGUCCGUUGUGAAAACUCGAGGCUCAACCUCGAGACGCCGAUGGAAACCAUCUGACUAGAGUCCGGAAGAGGAGAGUGGAAUUCCUGGUGUAGCGGUGAAAUGCGCAGAUAUCAGGAGGAACACCGGUGGCGAAGGCGGGUCUCUGGGCCGAUACUGACGCUGAGGAACGAAAGCGUGGGGAGCGAACAGG